rnacentral:rRNA from 1 species
AUUGAACGCUGGCGGCAUGCCUUACACAUGCAAGUCGAACGGCAGCGGACCUUCGGGUGCCGGCGAGUGGCGAACGGGUGAGUAAUGUAUCGGAACGUACCAUUGAGUGGGGGAUAACGUAGCGAAAGUUACGCUAAUACCGCAUAUUCUCUCCGGAGGAAAGCAGGGGACCGCAAGGCCUUGCGCUCUUUGAGCGGCCGAUAUCAGAUUAGCUAGUUGGUGAGGUAAAGGCUCACCAAGGCUACGAUCUGUAGCGAGUCUGAGAGGAUGAUCCGCCACACUGGAACUGAGACACGGUCCAGACUCCUACGGGAGGCAGCAGUGGGGAAUUUUGGACAAUGGGGGCAACCCUGAUCCAGCCAUGCCGCGUGAGUGAAGAAGGCCUUCGGGUUGUAAAGCUCUUUCGGGUGAGAAGAAAGCGGAUGGGCUAAUACCCUGUUCGGAUGACGGUAUCACCAUAAGAAGCACCGGCUAACUACGUGCCAGCCGCCGCAGUAAGAC